AGAUUAUUUACAUACGCGAUGCAAAACAAGUCAUACGUAUUAUUUUGAUAGUUGCUUCUCAUCAGACGAAGCAAAAACUUUAAGUAGUGGAACAAGCACUGAAAUUAUUUUCUAACCAUUUUGUCAUUCAAAUGGAUCCAAGCUACAACUCCUCAGAAAGUCUGGUCAGAAACUCAAGCUUUUCAGAAGAAUUGCUGUCUCAACCGUGGAAAUGUUAUGAUAAAUCAAUAAUGCAUCACCAAAAGUUCAAAAUGAUGGAGGAAUAUGGGCAGGAAAAUCCAAGAAAAGUUAAACUUGUAAAUGGUGUAAAGGUUAUUUGUUCUGAAGAGUUUUGCUUGGUAAAGGAAGUGAUGGAACUCGUGUUUACCUUGGACUCGGAAAAGAUGGUUACGGAAAAGCAGUAAAACGAUUGCUUCGAGAUAACUGUGUGGAGUUAGCCAAA